rnacentral:lncRNA from 1 species
AAUUUGUCUUCAUGUAAUUUGAGAUGUUGCAUUUGGAGUAUAAAAGUUCAGAUUUUCAAAUUUGUUAGCAUAAAAGUUUUGGAAGUUUUGAGAGUACCAGCAUAAUGAAGACAUUAGCUGUCGUUUUACUAUUUGUUCUUGUUGGACUUAUUUACGCAAGAGGUAAUCGAAACCUAAAAGAAGAGAUAGAACAUGAAAUUGCUCAAGAGAUAAUGAAUGACAUUGAAGAAAAUAAUGAAAUUGACAUUAAUGAUCAAGUUGAAGUUAAUGAUCCAAAUCCUGACCCUUACUUAUGGUGGCGAAGAAGAAGACAUAGAAGAAGACGUAUAACAAUACCCAUUGAAGAAUAUCUCAAAUUAAAAACAAAGAAAGUUUGAAGUUUCAAAGUUUAACUUUUGUGCAAUAUUAUUUUAAUUUUUUUUUUCGUAAAAAAUAAUUAUACAAUA